UACGGAGGGGGCAAGCGUUAUUCGGAUUUACUGGGCGUAAAGGGUGCGUAGGUGGUUGUGUAAGUCUGGCGUGAAAUCUUCACCGCUCAACGGGAAGAGGUCGCUGGAAACUGCACAACUUGAGUAUGGUAGAGGCAGGCGGAAUUCCAGGUGUAGCGGUGGAAUGUGUAGAUAUCUGGAAGAACACCCGUGGCGAAGGCGGCCUGCUGGGCCAUUACUGACACUGAGGCACGAAAGCGUGGGUAGCAAACAGG
rnacentral:rRNA from 1 species